GGCGGGUUUCGUGCCGGGAGGAAGCUGCCCAGCGAUGCUAAGCUGGCUUCGCUGGGCAGCUUCCUCCCGGAGCGGAGCCCGCC